AGAACUUUAUGUGGACUUAACCCAUCCACGACAAUCCUUGAUAAACGAGAAGUCCGAAGUUUCUUAGGGCGCAAGUAAUCGACCUACCUUAUAGUUUUCUUUCUAUUAUAUCAUGAUUAUCAUAGAACGCUUAAGCAUGGGAUGGACUCUAAUGGAAAGCCUCAAGGCCUACACUUAAGGCCCCACAAAGGCAUCCAUUUGGAUUCAUCCUAUUCAGCGAUCUUAAGAGUCUAAGCAUAAGAAUGAACUCUGAUGGGAAGCCUCAAGGCCUACACUUAAGGCCCCACAAAGGCACCCAUUUGGGUUCGUUCUAUUCCUUGGAUUCGGGUAAUCAGAAAUAUAAUAGUUAGAAGACUCCGACAAUCACAAGAAUACAUAUGAUGCGUUCGAGUACUGGUUUAGUUAUGUAUGGGAAGCCUCAAGGCCUACAUUUAAGGCCCCACAAAGGCACCUGUUAUAACUAAACAUGGUUUCUUGGAUACAUGUAUAUAUAUAUAUACAAUGAAAGAACGACAACCAUUUUACAUCUGCCAUGCUAAAGAUGGCAGUGGCACGCCUGAGCACCUAAAUGUUAAUCUUGAUUGUGAGCCUCAAGGCCUAUACCUAAGGCCCCACAAAGGCACCUCUCAAAGUUAACUCUGUCUUCUCUUUCAGCCUUGCCCGAAGAGCCUUGCCCGAAGAGUCUUGCCCGACGAGACUUGCCCGACGAGACUUGCCCGACAACGCCCAGAAACGAAGCAGAAGCCCGACAACAGCCCUCAACCGGCGCCAACCUCCAGGGGAGCUGUGUGCUCGUCGGCCAGGAAACAUCCCCAGCGGAAAUUCCUGCCACGAACACCACCACCCUCAUUUCUUCGUCCGCGAGCCACCACCACCAUCACUGAUCUUUCUUCGUCCUCCUAUUAGCCACCAUCUACAAAAUCAAUGGUAAAUUUGAUAUUUGAAUUUGUGAAAAUAGUGAUCUGUGUGAAUUUGGGAAUAUUGUGAACAUUGUGAAAAUAGGGAAUAUUGUGAAAAUAUUGUGAAGUUGUGAAAAUAUUGUAAAUCUGCAAAAAUAUUGGGAAUAUUGUGAACAUUGUGAACACAUGGAAUUUUGUGAACAUUGUUGUGAACACAUGGAAUAUUGUGAACGUUGUGAAGUUGUGAAAGUAUUGUGAAUAUUAUGAAUUUAUGGAAAUAUUGGAAUAUUGCGAAUAUUGCGAAUAUUGUGAAGUUGUGAAAAUAUUGUGAAUUAUGAAAAUAUUGUGAAUUUGUGAAAAUAGAGAAUAAGGAAUAGGAAAAUAGGGAAUAUUGUAAAUUUGGGAGUUUGUGAAAAUAAUUGUGAAUUUAUGAAAAUAUUGUGUUCGUAGAAAUAUGUGAAAAUAGUAGGAAAUAUUGUUACCCAAAAAGAAUUGUAGGAAAUAUGUGAAGUUUGUAGUAAAAAAACUUAAGUUUUUAGGAAAGAAAUUAAAUUUGUAAAAAGUAAGUAAAAAUUGUAAAAAAUUAUUUUGUGUGUGUGUUUUUUUUUCACUGAUGUCAUCUCAGUUGAUCAUUAGUGAUCGUUGCUAUAUCUCCGCUUCAGGUCAGAGUGGCUCAACAGAAGGGAUACCCAGCAGCACCUAGCCGAUCACUACUAAGUUGGUGACAGGUCUUAGUACUUCCG
rnacentral:lncRNA from 1 species